UGAUGGCUUAAAACAAAAACUACUUUAUUGCCCAUAAUCCUGUGGGUUGGCUGGGCAGGGCUCAGCCGGGGUGCUCAUCUCUGCUCCACAGGGUAUUGACUGGCUUCUCCGAGGAGGUUGUGCUUUUGUCUGGAAGAUCCAAGAAGGCCUCACUCAUGUGUCUGCCCCUCAGUGGGGCCUCUCGCCCCGUGGUCUUUCCCCCUCCAAGGCCUCUCUUCUCUCACCAAGUUUCCCUCUCCGGGGUCUCUCCUUCUUCACGUGCUUUCUCCAGAAGGAUAGAGGGACUUCCUUUUGUGGUGGCUCAGGACUCCCAAAGAGUGAAAAUGGAAACCACAAGGUAGACUAAAGCCUACAUUUGGAUGUAAAAUAGCAUUGCUUCUUCUACUUCUGUUGGUCAAAGCAGGUCAAAGGGCCAUCCCAGACUCCACGGGAGAGGCGGUGGACUCCACCUCAGGAUGAGAGGAGAGACAAAGCCACAUUUCAAAAGGGCAUAAGGACUUGCCAGGAUUUUGGCCACCAUCUUUAGAAACAACCUUCCACAGAACCCAAAACCCAAGCACUUUGUACGGUGCCAAACACCUCAGGGUAUUUAUGGCUGCCAGCGCCUUUCUGAUGUCAUUAGGACCUCUUCCAACGAUGGCCUGCAUCCGAGCUAUGGCAUGGGGCUGAAGGUGACAGCUCCUCUUCAGCUAUUUAACAAGCUUGGUGUCUUCUGUGUGCCAGGCACUGAGAAGAUGCAUUUCCAUCCAGGUGACUUUAUCACUCCCUAACGUCUUCUCCAAGCUCCCAUCUCCUUCUCCCAUCUCUUGCUUCCGUCACUCUCUACAUCUCAUCGCCCCUUUUUAUCUUGGAUUACCCUCAAAAUAGAAAUGAAUUCUUUUAAAGAUAAAUAGGAAGAUAAUUUCUUCAUGAAACAUCAAGGCUUGUGCCUAGUAGGCCUCUUGCUUAAAGUUCCAGAAGCUGAUAAGAGCAUCCUUAGUUCGGAAAGCAGCUUGAGAUAUAACUUAGAAUAGUCCUCGUAGGAUAUUUUCCAGCACCAAAAUCAGCAGCUUCUCCUGGGAGAUUCAAGUUGCAAGUCUGAGUAAUAGGCAAAGAUUCCAUUCUAAGUCAUGCUGCUCCCAUUGAGGACAUUCCUGGACCCAACAUUCUAACAGUAAAAUGCUUUUCCAGUGGCAAACGAAUCUGACCAGAUGGCCAAAAAGUGCUGGUAAGUCUUAAGGAACUCAAGAUUAUUUGAAUUGAAAAAAAAAAAUGCUACCCAAAAUAGCCUCAAUGUUCUCUUUUCUAGUUUCGUAGCUGUCACAGUGAUGCACAGAUGACAAAGUUUAUCUCUAAACAUUUAAAGUAAUGCUCGAGGGGGUGAAGUCAGUCCAUGAUGCACUGCACAGACGUACACUAGAAUCCCAAACUGGAAACUGGAAAUCCCCAUGGUUGUUCAGAUAAAAGGUCAAACAAAGAUAAGCUUCCUCCAGGGCCACAGGCUGGGUCCAGGACUUUGAGGACAAGGCCCAAGGGAGAAGCAUCGGAACUAAAUGCCACCAACGGUAGUAGCACAUUGAGUCUGGUUAACACUGCCCCAGGAGAGGCCCUGCAAGGAUCAUCUUCCUGAAUCAGAGAAGUCAUGGGAAAUAUGGACCCUUGGGGACCAGAAAGAGCUUCUUGGAGGAAGUUUGGCAUGAAAGUUCUUCACAGUCCUCAGGUUGAUGUGACUGAAGGUCUGAGCCUUGUGCUCAGACGACAAUGGAAGCACCUGUGCCCAGACCCAGAGCAGCUCCCACGGGUGGCGCUGCUGGCUGCCUCGCCUGGAGACCUUGCUGCUACGUGUCCCUGGAAGAGGAAGGAACAAAGAAGCUCUCAGAACUCAGGGU
ensembl:lncRNA